rnacentral:lncRNA from 1 species
CUGCGGAAAACAGCCACAGGAAUCUUCAAAUGAUCACUGGAAUGGACUCUUGCCUGAAAACACAGAAUGGACUGCCGUUUCUACCACCUUGGAGAUGCUGGGUCAUAUUGUUCACCAUCUGUGACCCAAUGGAUGGGGUUGUACCUGUACUGUGAACUGUCAGCCUGUCGUUGACAUAGUUGUAGUUGUACUAUUAACAGUCGGCCUGCUGCUGAUGCUAUUGCUAGGGCAAUGGGUCUUGUUGCAAUUUUCUCUUGUAAUUUUCCCUUUGCAAAUUUUCUCUUGUAAUUU